UACGUAGGGGGCAAGCGUUGUCCGGAAUCAUUGGGCGUAAAGCGCGUGUAGGCGGCCCGGUAAGUCCGCUGUGAAAGUCCAGGGCUCAACCCUGGAAUGCCGGUGGAUACUGUCGGGCUCGAGUCCGGAAGAGGCGAGUGGAAUUCCUGGUGUAGCGGUGAAAUGCGUAGAUAUCGAGAGGAACACCUGCGGCGAAGGCGGGUUGCUGGGCCGACACUGACGCUGAUGCGCGAAAGCCAGGGGAGCGAACGGG
rnacentral:rRNA from 1 species